rnacentral:miRNA from 1 species
CCUGGGACUCACUUUGUUGACCAGGUUGGCCUCAAAAUCAUAGAGAUCAGCCUGUCUCUGUCUCCAGAAUACUAGGAU